UACGAAAGGGGCGAGCGUUGUUCGGAAUUACUGGGCGUAAAGGGCGCGCAGGCGGCUCUGAAAGUCAGAUGUGAAAGCCCCGGGCUUAACCUGGGAAUUGCAUUUGAUACUCUGGAGCUUGAGUGUGGGAGAGGAGAGUGGAAUUCCCAGUGUAGAGGUGAAAUUCGAUAGAUAUUGGGAAGAACACCGGUGGCGAAGGCGGCUCUCUGGACCACAACUGACGCUGAGGCGCGAAAGCGUGGGGAGCAAACAGG
rnacentral:rRNA from 1 species